rnacentral:rRNA from 1 species
UACGGAGGGAGCUAGCGUUGUUCGGAUUUACUGGGCGUAAAGGGCGCGUAGGCGGUCAGCACAAGUCAGUUGUGAAAUCUCCGGGCUUAACUCGGAAAGGUCAACUGAUACUGUGCGACUAGAGUGCAGAAGGGGCAACUGGAAUUCUCGGUGUAGCGGUGAAAUGCGUAGAUAUCGAGAGGAACACCUGCGGCGAAGGCGGGUUGCUGGGCUGACACUGACGCUGGUGCGCGAAAGCCAGGGGAGCGAACGGG